rnacentral:lncRNA from 1 species
CCUAUACCCCCAAUCACAGCCCCCACCUUCACCCUACAAUUAGAGCAUACACUCUACCUCACUCCACCCACACCACACACAAUCACCCAGUACAAUCUUCCCCAACAUCCCUCUACCAAACAUUCAAAAACUGUUCAUCCCCUCUUCCUUAUAACCUAUGUCAAAGAAAUUCACGCCUCGUAAAAUUUUCAGAAUUGUCAAAUAAACUUUAUCUGAUUAAUUUUCAAGUCCCAUCGUUCAAUAUAUUAAGUCAAAUCCAACCGCGUAAAAUUGUUAAAAGCCCGACGUGGCUACGGGUGGAUCUGCUCAAUCCAAUUAUCAAAAAGAGAAAAAAUCUCAAGCAAACAAAAGAGGGACUCCGACAAAUAAGAAGGAAAAAAUUGUUGAAACCCCUUUCGACUCUGAUUCUGACUUUUGUUAAUAUUACAAAAAAGAGAAAAAUAAAAAAAUCGACAAAUGUCGAUGUUUCUCAAUCUUCUAAACCUUCAAGACCAUCAACAAGGAACUCAACAAAAAACAUGAAAUCAGAGAUACCAUUGGUCAAGAAAGACAAAAAAAAGUUGUUAGUCAUAAAUUCAGAAACAUUGUGUUUACCAACGAAGAGUUAAAUGGCAUGGAUCAAUAUAUUCUAAAUAAAUUUUCAAGUAACCAUGAUACAAAAGAUUAAGAAACAUCAGAAAAACAUAGUGUUCACGUCGACAAAAAGUAUUUAGAGUUGAAGACAGAGAUUGCGGAGGUAUAUAAUAAAAAAUUAUGAUUUAAUACCUUUUUUUUAAAAUUUUACAAAUUACUUAUCCAAUAUGUUAAUGUUCAGUGAAAGGUCAGGGUGAAGUUGAAACAAUUGAAAGAUAAUGUUAUUCUUCAAUUCCUUUUACAUUAAUUAUCAAUAAUUUCUUUCUAAAAUUUUUUAAUGUUUUAACAUUUAUUUUUACAUCUAUUGAUAAGGUUGACAAACACAUGGUUGAAAUGAAAACAUAUGCCGAUUACUUGACAAAGCUUAAAAUAUAGAUUAGGUCGUCAAGAGGUCAACCAACAUCAAUUAUACACCAACAGGUAUUAUGAAAUACUAGUGGGUUUUACAAAGCAAAAGCCAA